rfam:Dipodomys ordii contig_47552, whole genome shotgun sequence.
GCUUGCUUUAGCAGAACAUAUGUUAAAACUGGAAUAGUAGAGAAAAGGUUAGCAUGGCCCCUGUGCAAGAAUGAGACACAAAUUCAUGACGCAAUCCUUAUUUUU